GUAAGGGAUUGUGUGAAAAGCCAAGACGUAUUUUCAAAUUUCGCCUACCGUUGAAACUAUAAAUUUGUAAAGCGGCACGAAGCAGUCAUAAGUUUUCAAUAACUGCUGAAGUGAGCGCGGGAUGUCUUCAGCAUUCUUAUAAAUAUCCAAGAGGCAGUCUAUCAAUGUAAAUCUUUGAAGAUUAUAUUGGGGACAGUCAAAGAAAAUGUGAUCAAGAGUUUGGAUGGAUAAAUUACAGAAUUGACAAGUUGGAGAAUCUAAAACACCGAUCCUAAAUAAAUGAGCACCACUACGAGAAUGUCCCAGACGUAACCGACAAAUUGUGGUGUAAAAUUUUCUGUGGACAUUUAAGGAUAGAAGAAUGGAUGACAACUGUUCUAAAUCAACAUUAUUAAAUGCUCCUACAACAUCUAAAAAAACACCAGCCAAUAUCUUAUUGUCAAUCUGGGCACUAUGGAUGUCAAGACAUAAAUGCCGUAUACUCUCACAAGCAGAACGACCAUAUCGAAAUCCAAAUUGAUUAUUAGAUUACUGUGUGGAGGAAUGUUGGAUGGAAUUGAAGAAGAUUCAGUUUCCGACACUACCAUGGAAAAUUUUGUGAUUGUAGGCAAGUGAUAGCUGCCCAAAGAGUCCUGAUGAACUUGCCAUUCACAGCACAGGAAUAAUGAAGAUGAUACUAUUGUUAGAUCUAGUCCAUUUGGUCUCCAAGAAUUAGUACCCACCGUAGUUGGUUGACCAUUAUUUAAGAGCAUUAAGUCAUUAUCGUCCAUUACAUCCAUGAUGUCUCUACCUCUAGAAUUGGUUCUAUUACUACCCCAAAUGGUAUGGUGAGCAUUAAAAUCACCAGCAAUUAUUAGUGGUUCUGGAAUACUAUGCAAUAGUCUAUUAAAUUUAGAUUUGUACACUUAAGUUAGGUACACUGUUGCCAGGACUAUAAAAGCUAACAAUUAAGAUGUCUUUUUGUUUGUAUUUAAUUUUAAUUGCUACAUUUUGCAAGGAGUUAUCAGAAAAUGUUUCUAACUUACCAUUGUGAUCAUUACACAUCAUUUCGUAGUAUUGUAUAACCUCUGAUAGAAAACUGUAUAUUUGGUUUAAGCCAAGUUUCUGAUAUAAGUGCUAUGUGUAUGUCCUGCUCAUAAAGUACCUAGGUUUUGAAGCUAAAACUGUACUAUGUUAAGUUUGUGACAACGUUUGAAUGUGACGUUUUAUUUUUAAUUUGUAUGGUAUCUUUAAAAGCUGAACUUGCGUGUGAGCUAAUGCUUUGAUUCUGUGUUUUAUUUAGUGUAAUGACUUUUAUUGAU